rnacentral:rRNA from 1 species
AUUGAACGCUGGCGGCAUGCUUUACACAUGCAAGUCGAACGGCAGCGCGGGCUUCGGCCUGGCGGCGAGUGGCGAACGGGUGAGUAAUACAUCGGAACGUGCCCAGUAGUGGGGGAUAGCUCGGCGAAAGCCGGAUUAAUACCGCAUACGACCUGAGGGUGAAAGCGGGGGAUCUUCGGACCUCGCGCUAUUGGAGCGGCCGAUGGCAGAUUAGCUAGUUGGUGGGGUAAAGGCCUACCAAGGCGACGAUCUGUAGCUGGUCUGAGAGGACGACCAGCCACACUGGGACUGAGACACGGCCCAGACUCCUACGGGAGGCAGCAGUGGGGAAUUUUGGACAAUGGGCGAAAGCCUGAUCCAGCAAUGCCGCGUGUGUGAUGAAGGCCUUCGGGUUGUAAAGCACUUUUGGCGGGAACGAAAAGGACUGUGCCAAGACCACGGUUCGAUGACGGUACCCGCAGAAGAAGCACCGGCUAACUACGU